CCUACGGGGGGCAGCAGUGGGGAAUAUUGCACAAUGGGGGAAACCCUGAUGCAGCGACGCCGCGUGAGUGAAGAAGUAUUUCGGUACGUAAAGCUCUAUCAGCAGGGAAGAAAAUGACGGUACCUGACUAAGAAGCCCCGGCUAACUACGUGCCAGCAGCCGCGGUAAUACGUAGGGGGCAAGCGUUAUCCGGAUUUACUGGGUGUAAAGGGAGCGUAGACGGCAGGGCAAGUCUGGAGUGAAAUCCCAUGGCUUAACCAUGGAACUGCUUUGGAAACUGUGCAGCUAGAGUGCAGGAGAGGUAAGCGGAAUUCAUGGUGUAGCGGUGAAAUGCGUAGAUAUUAGGAGGAACACCAGUGGCGAAGGCGGCUUACUGGACUGUAACUGACGUUGAGGCUCGAAAGCGUGGGGAGCAAACAGGAUUAGAUACCCUAGUAGUC
rnacentral:rRNA from 1 species